AGGAGGAACAACCGCACUGGCAGGGUCAGCUCUGCAGCCCUGGAGUCAGCCCCUGCAGUAGCUCCAGAACUCUCUGUCUGCAGGGCCUGGAGGCUCGGGGCAGGG
rnacentral:pre_miRNA from 1 species